rnacentral:misc_RNA from 1 species
GGAAGAGAAGAAGCCGGAAGCCAAAGCAGAGAAGCCGGAAGAUGUAAAGGAGGACCCGCCGAAGGCUGAACCCGCCGCUGCUACCGACGCUGGGGAGAAGAAGGACGCCGCGGAGGCCGCACCUCCGCCACCUCCUCCCCCGCCUGAGGAGGUGGUGCUGCAUGUCUACAUGCACUGUGAGGGUUGCGCCCGCAAGGUCAGGCGCAGCCUCAAGGGCUUCGAGGGUGUGGAAGACGUGAAGACGGAUUGUAAAACCCACAAGGUAGUAGUGAAGGGGCGGAAGGCGGCGGAGGACCCGUUGAAGGUGGUGGAGCGCGUACAGAAGAAGAGCG